rnacentral:rRNA from 1 species
GAUGAACGCUGGCGGCGUGCCUAAUACAUGCAAGUCGAGCGAACGGACGAGAAGCUUGCUUCUCUGAUGUUAGCGGCGGACGGGUGAGUAACACGUGGAUAACCUACCUAUAAGACUGGGAUAACUUCGGGAAACCGGAGCUAAUACCGGAUGAUAUUUUGAACCGCAUGGUUCAAAAGUGAAAGACGGUCUUGCUGUCACUUAUAGAUGGAUCCGCGCUGCAUUAGCUAGUUGGUAAGGUAACGGCUUACCAAGGCAACGAUGCAUAGCCGACCUGAGAGGGUGAUCGGCCACACUGGAACUGAGACACGGUCCAGACUCCUACGGGAGGCAGCAGUAGGGAAUCUUCCGCAAUGGGCGAAAGCCUGACGGAGCAACGCCGCGUGAGUGAUGAAGGUCUUCGGAUCGUAAAACUCUGUUAUUAGGGAAGAACAUAUGUGUAAGUAACUGUGCACAUCUUGACGGUACCUAAUCAGAAAGCCACGGCUAACUACGUGCCAGCAGCCGCGGUAAUACGUAGGUGGCAAGCGUUAUCCGGAAUUAUUGGGCGUAAAGCGCGCGUAGGCGGUUUUUUAAGUCUGAUGUGAAAGCCCACGGCUCAACCGUGGAGGGUCAUUGGAAACUGGAAAACUUGAGUGCAGAAGAGGAAAGUGGAAUUCCAUGUGUAGCGGUGAAAUGCGCAGAGAUAUGGAGGAACACCAGUGGCGAAGGCGACUUUCUGGUCUGUAACUGACGCUGAUGUGCGAAAGCGUGGGGAUCAAACAGGAUUAGAUACCCUGGUAGUCCACGCCGUAAACGAUGAGUGCUAAGUGUUAGGGGGUUUCCGCCCCUUAGUGCUGCAGCUAACGCAUUAAGCACUCCGCCUGGGGAGUACGACCGCAAGGUUGAAACUCAAAGGAAUUGACGGGGACCCGCACAAGCGGUGGAGCAUGUGGUUUAAUUCGAAGCAACGCGAAGAACCUUACCAAAUCUUGACAUCCUUUGACAACUCUAGAGAUAGAGCCUUCCCCUUCGGGGGACAAAGUGACAGGUGGUGCAUGGUUGUCGUCAGCUCGUGUCGUGAGAUGUUGGGUUAAGUCCCGCAACGAGCGCAACCCUUAAGCUUAGUUGCCAUCAUUAAGUUGGGCACUCUAAGUUGACUGCCGGUGACAAACCGGAGGAUGGUGGGGAUGACGUCAAAUCAUCAUGCCCCUUAUGAUUUGGGCUACACACGUGCUACAAUGGACAAUACAAAGGGCAGCGAAACCGCGAGGUCAAGCAAAUCCCAUAAAGUUGUUCUCAGUUCGGAUUGUAGUCUGCAACUCGACUACAUGAAGCUGGAAUCGCUAGUAAUCGUAGAUCAGCAUGCUACGGUGAAUACGUUCCCGGGUCU